rnacentral:rRNA from 1 species
UACAGAGGGUGCAAGCGUUAAUCGGAAUUACUGGGCGUAAAGCGUGCGUAGACGGUUAUUUAAGUCAGGUGUGAAAGCCCCGGGCUCAACCUGGGAAUUGCAUUCGAGACUGCAUUGCUGGAGUACGGAAGAGGAAGGCGGAAUUCCCGGUGUAGCGGUGAAAUGCGUAGAUAUCGGGAGGAACAUCAGUGGCGAAGGCGGCCUUCUGGUCCAGUACUGACACUCAAGUGCGAAAGCGUGGGGAGCAAACAGG